rnacentral:lncRNA from 1 species
AUUAGGUGAUACAGGUCAGAACCAUCCAGCUGGGGUAUGGCAAAAUGAUAGAUCUAUCAUUGAGGUACAUUUCUGUUGGAAUAAUCCAGAUUAAAAGUGGUCGUGCUGAACAAAAGAUGGUGUGUGUUUUAAAUGUCUAUGCCUCCAUUUGCUAUAUUGAGUGUGAAUAAGACUGUAACCAAUCAGACCACAAUAGGUUCAGGAUCAAUGAGCAAUUGAUGGUUAUUGUCGUAGCAAAUUGUCUCAUGGGACCCAUCAUGAUGUGCAUUAACUUACUAUUUGCAAUCUUUAGGUUUCCCUUUAUCUGAGGGAAUUUCCUUUUUCUUUUAUAGCCACUCAGGCAGCUUGGACACAUGAAUGUUUUGAGGCCAUUGAUGCUGACCUUCACGUGAAGUAAAAGGUGCUUCAGUGCCAUGCGUAAAGAGAUGUUGCAUUCAGCAUCAUUGUUUUUUGGCUGGUAAACUGCAAUGCAUCUAUAGUGUCACUUUCCUAUUAAGUUCGAACCAUUCUGCAUAUCAUUUUACCAAAUGGAGCACAUAGAGAGUUUAGGAUAUUUUAAUCUAGUUAUAUUACCUAUUGAAACAGAAGUGGAGAUGAUAUUACAUCUUUUGGGUAAAGCUCUCUCCUCCUGCUGCCUCUUAUUACAAUCAAUAAUUACAGAGUAUAAUUUUGCCUAAAUGAAUAGUGAGAUAGGCCCCAGG